rnacentral:rRNA from 2 species
GCUUGACUGCGAGACCUACAAGUCGAGCAGGGUCGAAAGACGGACUUAGUGAUCCGGUGGUUCCGCAUGGAAGGGCCAUCGCUCAACGGAUAAAAGCUACCCCGGGGAUAACAGGCUUAUCUCCCCCAAGAGUUCACAUCGACGGGGAGGUUUGGCACCUCGAUGUCGGCUCAUCGCAUCCUGGGGCUGUAGUCGGUCCCAAGGGUUGGGCUGUUCGCCCAUUAAAGCGGUACGCGAGCUGGGUUCAGAACGUCGUGAGACAGUUCGGUCCCUAUCCGUCGUGGGCGUAGGAAAUUUGAGAGGAGCUGUCCUUAGUACGAGAGGACCGGGAUGGACAUACCUCUGGUGUACCAGUUGUCGUGCCAACGGCAUAGCUGGGUAGCUAUGUGUGGACGGGAUAAGUGCUGAAAGCAUCUAAGCAUGAAGCCCCCCUCAAGAUGAGAUUUCCCAACUUCGGUUAUAAGAUCCCUCAAAGAUGAUGAGGUUAAUAGGUUCGAGGUGGAAGCAUGGUGACAUGUGGAGCUGACGAAUACUAAUCGAUCGAAGACUUAAUCAAAA